AUCAUAGGAUGGCCGAGCGGGCCAAGGCGCUGCGUUCAGGUCGCAGUCCGGGUCUUCCGGGCGUGGGUUCGAAUCCCACUCCUGACA